AUUGGUAUUGAAGGAACUAGAUACUGUUCCGAAAUAUCACUUACUCGAACCGUCCUGACCGCGUAGCUCAGUUGGAAGAGCAUUGGGCUAAUACUCCAAAGUCGUAGGUUCGAAUCCCACCGUGGCCGGGCAUAUUUUUCAAGCUCGCCCGGUGUGGAUAAGCACUCAGAGUAACAUCACAAAACAUAUUAUUCACCUGAGUACACAACACCAGCACAGAAAAAAAAUUCAUAUUACAAGAACACAUUGGUAUUGAAGGAACUAGAUACUGUUCCGAAAUAUCACUUACUCGAACCAUGCUGACCGCGUAGCUCAGUUGGAAGAGCAUUGGGCUAGUAUUCCAAAGGUCGUAGGUUCGAAUCCCACCGUGGCCGGGCAUAUUUUUCAAGCUCGCCCGGUGUGGAUAUACACUCAGAGUAACACCACAAAUAUCAUAUUCACCUGAGUACACUACACCAACACAGGAAAAAUUCAUAUUACUAGAAAACAUUGGUAUCGAAGGAACUAGAUUCUGUUCCGAAAUAUCACUUACUCGAACCGUCCUGACCGCGUAGCUCAGUUGGAAGAGCAUUGGGCUAGUAUUCCAAAGGUCGUAGGUUCGAAUCCUACCGUGGCCGGGCACAUUUUUCAAGCUCGCCCGGUGUGGAUAUCCACUCAGAGUAACAUGGCAAACAUAUUAUUCACCUGAGUACACAACACCAACACAGAAAAAAAUUCAUAUUACUAGAACACAUUGGUAUUGAAGGAACUAGAUACUGUUCCGAAAUAUCACUUACUCGAACCGUCCUGACCGCGUAGCUCAGUUGGAAGAGCAUUGAGCUAGUAUUCCAAAG